AUUGAACGCUGGCGGCAUGCCUUACACAUGCCAGUCGAACGGUAACAGGUCUUCGGAUGCUGACGAGUGGCGAACGGGUGAGUAAUACAUCGGAACGUGCCCGACCGUGGGGGAUAACGGAGCGAAAGCUUUGCUAAUACCGCAUACGAUCUACGGAUGAAAGCAGGGGACCGCAAGGCCUUGCGCGGACGGAGCGGCCGAUGGCAGAUUAGGUAGUUGGUGGGAUAAAAGCUUACCAAGCCGACGAUCUGUAGCUGGUCUGAGAGGACGACCAGCCACACUGGGACUGAGACACGGCCCAGACUCCUACGGGAGGCAGCAGUGGGGAAUUUUGGACAAUGGGCGAAAGCCUGAUCCAGCCAUGCCGCGUGCAGGAUGAAGGCCUUCGGGUUGUAAACUGCUUUUGUACGGAACGAAAAGACUCUUUCUAAUAAAGAGGGUCCAUGACGGUACCGUAAGAAUAAGCACCGGCUAACUACGUG
rnacentral:rRNA from 1 species